rnacentral:miRNA from 1 species
UUUUAUACUAGAUUAGAC